GAAGCAGCGGAAAAUUCGAAGGACAGAGGUAGUUUAACUGGCAGAGGAGCAAUGCGAGUAACAACGAUGAUGACGAGGAGGAAGACUUUUUCAAUUCUGUGACUCAGUCUAUAGAAAAACCAAAGAGCUCCAACUCUUUAAAGAGUAAAGCGCAAAGUCUCGUUAAAAUGUGGCUGGACAUGAAAUCAAUAGACUCGUUCAACGAUGCUGCAUUCCUCGGGGAACAGAUAUUUAUAGAUCUAUUUAUUAAAUACAAUACUGCUAUAGCCUCAAGCCAGUGGCUUAGCGUAGUGGGGGCGGCAGGGGCGGCCCGCCCCGGGCGGCACUUUUACGGGGCGGCAAAAUUUAACAAUAAAUAAUAAAAAUAUUUUGUAAAUAUUUGAACCAUUUUAUAUUUUUAUCGCAACUACAAAUUCGGACCGAUUGAAAGGAGCUCGGAAUUUUUCAUUGCUUAUUUUGUGACGAAUUCGGGGAAUCCUUUCUCUUUGAAUGAUAUUUUGUAGCGACUGGCAACAACGUCUAUACUGGUUUGUGGGAAUUCCCCGUUUAUGACUAACAAUCAGCGAGAAUGACUUCUAUUACAUAUAUAUUAAGUUCAAUAUAGCUUAUUACACCUACGGGGAAGCCCCUUUAAAGUACGGGGAAUUACGUGCUUUGACAAAGUUUGACAAUUCAGAGAAAGUUUUAUUGAUGGAUCGUCAGUUGUCCAAUUCACAUUGUCUCGUAUUUUAACUAUGUUACGCUUUCUAAAUUGUGAUUUUUGUGCAAAUAAGUACGUGUAGUGGUGGUGAAAUUAUUGAACAACUUUUAACUGUCAUCAAAAAUGAAAAGAGUAAAAGAAAGUGGGGCAUCUUACCGUAAUAAGAGAAGAGCUAAGUUGGAAAAUAUUAGAGCAAAUGAAGGAGCUUUACUUAAAUAUGUGAAAAGUGUUAUUCCUGAGACGUCAGAUUCCUCGUUAGGUUUAAAUUCAUCACAGACAACUUCAAACUCAGAACAAGCUGAAAAAAUACAAGAAC